CUUUGCCAAUGUACACGUUUCCCACCAUCUUGGAGGAGGUUAUAAGUAAACAGAAAGUGAUUCUAGACUACGAACUAGUACUGACAGUCCUCAGAAGUAAUCACUUUUCCCGCACGGGUCGGUGUGACUUGUACCUCGGGCAGGAAAGAAUUGUCGCUCAUCCUCUCUCUCUGAUCGGUCAGAAGGACAGCCCCCUAGUCUUGGCCCUCAGCACGUGGGUAAUCUCCAUGACCGAGGCUGGACUGUACGUGCAUUGGAAUUCAGCGACGAUUCCAAACUCCAGCGCUUGUAAUCAAGUGCCGACGAAGAUCACUAUCAGCUCGUCUCUAUCCUUCAGACAGUGCUGGUGGCUAGCGAGUGUGACACUUGUGUAGUCUGGUGGAGGGACGUUGUGUAUAUAAGGUGUCACAGCUUCCCAAGGCUCACUUAGCCCCAGUCUGACUGCAGAUACCGACGACCUCGGUCCGCUCUGCCGCGUCACUCCCGUAAAGGAUGGUGUUUUAUCCCCGAAGAGAAACAUGUUUAUACGAGCGCCUGACGUUCCUGUGGCAGUGGUCUGCGGGCCUGUCUCUGAUGUCAAUUGCUCGGCGGUCUGGCAGGAGUCCAGACACAGUGCGCCGGUGGUUCCGGUGGUGGGAGCGUUACGGGCGCCUGCUGAGGCCAAUAGGUGGGCAUAACCGCCGCCAUUUCCCCCGCGCUGCAGGCACUGGAGGCAGGGACGUCUUAUGCAGGGUGAAGGGCGGUGCGCUCCCCACGCUACACAGGCGGCCGUACCCAGAUCUGCUGUAUUAUGGAAACCCUCACUGAUUGCUACUUGCGUCCUGGCGGUGUGAUGUCUCAGGAAUCCACGUCCAAUAUCCGAUGCCUUUAGAACUUAACCAGUACUCUCUGGAAUAGCUAACGAGAAGCGACUAUAUUUUUUUCGCCUUCGCUUUCUUUGUCAGAUUUCGUUCGAGACGUGUCACACUAAGAACUUUUGUGCUAGAGUCGGUUUCCACUGUCAUCUCAGCGUUCUUAGAGAAAAAGAUUUUCUUGAUUUUUUUUAAUGAAUGACACUAAAGUGUUCAUGCAAUUUCCAGCUUAUAAUGGUGUAAGGCAAUAUUUUAAAGGACACAAAAUGUGUAAAUGAUUCAUGUCGCCUUAUUUAAGUAAAUUAAACCACUUAAUAAGUAUGUUCUAGCGUUUAAGAUCUUCUCAUUAUUCGAAUAGAAGAAAUGGCGUGUCUGUUUCGCUCAGGUCAAGGCCCGAGAUGUAGAGGAACAUACAAUCAUUCACAUAAGUAUAUUACCUGAGGAGAAAGGAAUUGUAAUUAUGAAGGACAGCAGCAAUAGGACACAUGAUGUAUACAGGGAGCUUGUGGAUUAGAGUUAGUGAGAUGAAAUGUACAUGAAUAAUGGGAGCUGCGCCAUUCCUUGACUGUACAAGGUGUUCACAGAAUGAGGAAACAUUUUAAUUUUCAUUAUGUUAAUUGUAUAUUGUGUUGAUUAUGUUAUUCUGAAAUUACUUUCUUCGCUUUAUUGCCAUGAUCAGAUAAUACAAAAGGAGAGUCUCAAGGUGGGGUGUUUUAUAUGUAUAGUGAAAUGCUUA